GUUUCAUUCAAAUUUCUGCCCUAUCAACUUUCGACGGUAGGGUAGUGGCCUACCGUGGUGGUAACGGGUGACGGAGGAUUAGGGUUCGAUUCCGGAGAGGGAGCCUGAGAAACGGCUACCACAUCCAAGGAAGGCAGCAGGCGCGCAAAUUACCCAAAUCCCAACUCGGGGAGGUAGUGACAAGAAAUAACGAUGCUCCGGCCAUCGGUCGGGUAAUCGGAAUGAGGACAAUUUAAAUCCCUUAUCGAGGAUCAAUUGGAGGGCAAGUCUGGUGCCAGCAGCCGCGGUAAUUCCAGCUCCAAUAGCGUAUAUUUAAGUUGCUGCGGUUAAAAAGCUCGUAGUCGGAUUUCGGGUGGUGCCUACCGGUCCGCCCUUGGUGUGUACUGGUAGGCGCCACCUUUCUGCCGAGGACGGGUUCCUGGGCUUAGCUGUCUGGGGCCCGGAGUCGGCGAUGUCACUUUGAGUAAAUUAGGGUGUUUAAAGCAGGCUUAUGCUCUGUAUACACUAGCAUGGGAUGACACGAUAGGACUUCGGUCUAUCUUGUCGGUCUGUAGAUCGGAGUAAUGAUUAAGAGGGACAGUCGGGGGCAUUCGUAUUUCGUAGUCAGAGGUGAAAUUCUUGGAUUUACGGAAGACGAACUUCUGCGAAAGCAUUUGCCAAGGAUGUUUUCAUUGAUCAAGAACGAAAGUCGGGGGCUCGAAGACAAUUAGAUACCGUCGUAGUCUCGACCAUAAACGAUGCC
rnacentral:rRNA from 1 species